AGUUAAACAGUACGUGAAAUUGUUGAAAGGGAAACGAUUGAAGCCAGUCGUACCUUCGGGUAAUCAGCCUUUCGGGUGCGAUUCUGUGGAGUUUGAGGAGCUUAACACCUUCAUGCUUUGCAUAUUCGUGCUCUUGGGUGUACUUGCCCGUGUGGUUGGUUAACAUCAAUUUCGGGCACCAUAAAAUGGCUGGAGGAAUGUAGCUUCGAUCUUGUAUUGAAGUGUUAUAGCCUUCGGUAGAUGUGGUGAUCGAGAUUGAGGAUUGCAACGGAUACCUUUCGGGGCUACCUGUCUGAUCUCUGAUCGUUGCUUUGGUGCUGAAAGCGUGCUUAUAGUUAUCAAAGUCGAUGGUCAAUAGGUUAGAAUGGGUUAAAUUCGUUAAGGAUGUUGACGUAAUGGCUUUAAA
rnacentral:misc_RNA from 1 species